GACGAGAAUAAUCUUAACCAAAAGAUCUCAACCUUGAGUUUUGCAGUGAGAAAAAAAAAGCACACAAACAGAGUCCGAUCAUAGGGAGUUUUGAGAGAGAGAGUAAACAGACUUCCUCUUGAUAUCAUGUUCAUCUUCUGCAUCCCUCUCCUCCAUCUAUGCUGUCUCGCUUUCGCUUUGGGUCCUUCCUCUGCUUUGAUUCCCAUCGCAACACUCACUAUGAUAUAUUUCCAUGGCACUUAUCUGAUAACGUUAAAGAAGGAAGCUUGGCCAACUCCAUCCCUCCUUUGAAGUUCCAUCUCCCUCUCUCUCUUCCUUUAUCUUUCAGCCUUUAAUUUCACAUCUUUUCUGAAAGUCGGAUUCUUUUGCUAGGUUAUGUGAAUUGUUUUUGUUCAUGGGUCUGGUCAAAGCUUUGAUUUUUUUUUGUUCAAAGCCAUGUACUUUCCGUUAAUUGAUCUGAAUGAUUCACGUAUUCAUUGGUUCAUACCUCAUGUUGUAUUGUUUAUGCAAGUCUCUAUGAAACAAUAUAAUUCCUUAUAUUGAUGGUUAUAAAAACAUAAGCUUCCAGUGUUCUAAAGCUGCUUCCUUUUUUUUGCAGGAAUCGAGCAAAGAGCGAUACAACGUUCCAGAUGCUUCUGUUCGAGCUCAAAAGUUGUGCCAAGGUAUCAGAAAUUCUUGAGGAACUGAAGAAAGAUCCAGAGAGGCAUGGUGGACCACCAGAUUGCAUUGCAAGUUAAAAAGCUCUUUCAUUGACAGACUAAAUUGCUUGUGUCGCGCUUGACUGUUCAUGGUAAAUGCGCAGAGAGUGAUACAACUGUUUCAGAUGCUCCUGCUCGAGCUGAAAAUUUUGCUGAAAGAAAGUGGAACCAUCAACAAAGCAUAACUAGAAGCAAGCCGAGACUUGGUGAUAGUUACUGCAGGCUCAUAUAGACAAAGAUGCAAACAAAGCUUAUGUGGGUGAUGUACGUUUCACAGCUAUAGCAAUUGGAAUCAUCAUAACUAGCAAAAAUAGUUGUGGAAGUGUCUCUGAAUUGAAGGUAAACCGGAUUUAUGACAACAAUGAUUUAGAAUCAUACCGGAAAUUUAAGUUUUGUGUGAGAAGUAAGUUCAAUGCAAUAACUUCAAGGCUUGGAUUACUUUGAAGUUAUCAGUGAUAUUCCGGUGCCCAAAAACCCAAAAACCCAAUUAAUUUCUUAUUAUUGUUAUGUCAAAUUCUCCUAUAAUGGAAUAUGUUCUACA